rnacentral:lncRNA from 1 species
ACGUUAGCUUCGUAAUUCCCGUGCAAAAUAAUCGUUGCAUUGGAACGAAAGAUAAGUUCCAACUGUUGAUGUAUUUCUAGAGGGUUAAUUUGAAAUGUAGGUCGGUAUCGAUAUUGAAAAAGUUUGGGCAAAAAUCACUGCGUUUUAUUGCUUUCCUGUGUCAAAGUUUACAGAUCACUUUCUUUCGGACGCAUUUCUGGUUCGGGGAAGUGUCAACAACCGAUUCAUUUUGCUCAAACAAACUGCGUAAAUCGUCGGAUUGCAAGCUGACAUCUUACUCGUAUCCUGCUGUUGUGGGAGUGUCCGCCAAUGUUAUGGGUUCUUUAUCGCUCUUUCUGUCUAGAGAACUAGCUCCAGGGCUUUUAAAACUUCAUACAAGAAAAUGACACCUGUCAUUGCAACCAAUAUGCUGUUUUCCAGAGAAAGUUACUAGUAUUGCGGACAAGUCUUCCGAAAUCAACUAGAAAACACUUGGACUUUAGGAGGCAUGCAAUUGAUCUCAUUUCAAUUUGGGAAUAAGCUGUGGAUAUUUCAGUUUGGAAGACUCAAUAAUGUUGUAUUCGAAGAACACUGAAAUGUAAUUCUUGUUUAUUAAUAAAUGUUAUAUUUUAUUUUUCAUGUGUUUCUUUUAAUCAUUUCUUAUUAAAAAAAACAUAUUUCGAAAGGCUGAUGCUAAAGAUGGCAUAAACUGAACAAACCGUUUUCAUUGUGUAGAAAAUAUAGUUUAAUCAGCUCUUACAUAAAAAAUCUGCUUAUAUGUAUUACUUAUCAUUACACCAAAAUUUUAAUAUUAUUAAAUGUAUUUUUAAUCUGUAUAUGCCUAGCUAUUUCAUGUUGAAAUUAUAAUGAACAACUAUAAGUGUUGUUUUCAUAGGGAAGAACAGGGUUGCAUAUUGCUUUAAAAACAAACACAUAAUUCUAAAUGUAUUUAAUCAACUUUGGUUCAAAAGAUGGUUUGUAAUUGGUUGCUUAAAUUUAUUUUGCGUAGUUUUAAGUACUUUCAUUCCAACAAGGCCGUCAAUUAUGCCUUCAAUUUUGGUCAUGAAAUUUAUUUUAAAAUUCCGCAUUAAGCUUUUUAGAUUUAAGCCUGUAUAUCUCAGUAAAAAUAUUGAUAAGCUUGUUUUAGUUCAAGUAAGAAAUGUAAAAUAAAUAUCACUUUUUAGCUCUUUAAAUAAAAAUAUUAAAUUAAUGAUGAUAAAUUUUACUAUUUAACUUAGAUCAUAUUGCAUCAAACUUUGAUCAACUUGUAUCGAACAUAAUUUUGAAUACAAGUUAUCAUAAAGUUUAUAGAUUUUGCUACUUUAAAAAUUAAUUCAGACUUAGAUUGGAAUUUAUUGUAAGAUUUUUGUAUUUUGAGAUAAUUUAGCCCUAGUCUCCCCCCUUCAGUGGAGCAAGUAGUUAUUUCAAAUAUCAUUGGUUUAAAUAAGAAAUAAGUGGACCAUUGUCAUGGCCAUUUCUUGAUGAAAUGGGAGAGGAAAUAUUAAAACAACCUGCCAAAUGUAUAGAGAGGAUAAAAUUUUCAACACUUUUUAAAAGACAGAAUUAGAAUACAAGUUAUAAAUUAAAAGUGACAGAUUGAUGAAUAUAGAAAGCCAUCAACAAAAUCUACUGAAUUAAUUGAAUUUUAGAAGAAUGAGAGUUGAGAGACUAACAAUGUUCCGCAAUUAUUAGUUUCUCCUUUCCUGCUAAGAUUUGUGUUUUUAAAAAAUAGCUCUGAAUUUAAUAAGACUGGCAUUGCUGAAAUUAAGUUAGUAUUUAAUUUUCUUUCUGUCAUCUUUACACUCAAUUAAUUAAGCAUAUAGUGUCUUAGUAGGAUUUUCUGAUUGCUUUUAUUUAUACCUUGAAGUUUUGCUUUUAUUUAUAAAGUUACUGAAAUUCAUAUCGUGCAUGUUUUGCAGCUGUUUUUGGACUUGUUCCUUUUUAAUAAAUAUAUUAAUUGAUUAAUAUAUUAUUAAUAAUAUUUAAUUGGUAUAGCUUAAUAGAUAUAUUUGCAUUCUGGUUAUCUAUGCUCUAAUCUAAUUAGUA